rnacentral:lncRNA from 1 species
AAAUGUUGUUUGUUGGGUAGUUCAUUGUAAUCCUACACUAGGAUUUGCCUAAGAUAGGGCAAAUGAACGAGGGAUAGAACUCAAAGAAUGGGUUCUUUGAGAAACAAGAUAGUGAUCAACAAAUAUAACAACCUAGUUCCUAUACCACAAGCUCCAAGGUAGUCGAGAAGGAUUUAUAAACCGUCUCAAUUGAAUGGUUUGAACUUUAUGACUAUGUCAUAGAGUUACACCUCUUAAUUCGAAAGAAAUAAAGAAUGAAAAUCCUUAUGACUACAUUGAGUGUAUAUACGAUAUAUACUCAAGGAAAUGGUAAAGUACCAUUUGACCCGAAAUAAUGAAACCUCCAUAGCUAAUUGGUAGCUUAAGGUGACUACAAUCAAAGAGAAUGGUUGACUUUGAAGAAACCAUCUUUGACGUAGUCUUCGUUUCAAUUAAUUCGAAGAUUGCUAGCUACAACUAAAUGAUGAUUCAAUGUUUGGACAUAAUAUGGGUUUCCUAAACCAUUAUUAAGAUAGUCUUGAUAAUAUAUGUCUAAAACUAUGAAUCACAAGACAUGUAAGUUGUAGAGAUCCAUCCAUCAUGGAUCUUAGCAAGCUAGUGGGAGCUAUAAGCGUCUUAUGAAAGAAAGAUCAAAUCGUUUGAUUUCUCAUAAAGAUGUGAAUGAAUCUUUUGUUUACUAGGUUUACAAAAGAUUAGUGGGAAUUAAUCAUAUUCCUAAAUUUAAAUAUAUAUAUAUAUACACACAUAUAUGAUAUAUUAAUUUUGGAAAUGAAAAGAAUACUUCUUCGUUAAAGUUAUGACUUUAAACAUUCUAUAACGAUAGAAUGGAUAUAGGAGACAUAGUCUAUAUACAUGGGAUAGAAAUCUAUAAUGAUAUAUUUCAAGAUAUAAUUCGAUUAUAUCAAUCCCUAAUAUAGACAAAAGAUGAUAGGAAGUUUCUCAUAUGAUGAUGAACUUCAAUCAAAAAGGACAACUCUAGUGAGACUAAGAAGUUGCUCUUCUCAAAGAGAACGUACCCUUUGACUCCCAAAGAAAUAAUGCGUAAAUAGAAUCCUUUAUGCAUA